rnacentral:rRNA from 1 species
CAGCAGCCACGGUAAUACCAGUGGUGCAUGCGUUAUUCGGAUUGAUUGGGUGUAAAGGGUGUGCAGACGGCUUAUUAAGUCACUUGUUAAAUUCUUCGGCCUAACUGAAGGUCUGCAAGUGAUACUGAUGAGCUAGAGGGUGGAAGAGAGAAGUGGAAUUCUCGGAGUAGCGGUAAAAUGCGUAGAUCUCGAGAGGAACACCAAUGGCGAAGGCAGCUUCUUGGUCCAUUCCUGACGUUCAUACACGAAAGCGUGGGGAGCAAACAGGAUUAGAUACCCCCGUAGUCCCUGUCUCUUAUAC